AUCGCUUCUCGGCCUUUUGGCUAAUUUCAAGCGUAGGAUCUGUUCAAUAUCUGAUAUGUCCUCCAUGUGAGGACUACAUAUUAAACAGAUUUUUAGCACUGGGAGCUGAAAAAGGGGCUUGCUCCUUUCACUCCACGCAUCGACCUGGCAUUGCAGUGCUGCCGGGAAUGGUGCACCCUUU
rnacentral:snRNA from 1 species